rnacentral:tRNA from 1 species
ACCUGGGUGGCUCAGUCGGUUGAGCGUCCGACUUCAGCUCAGGUCACGAUCUCAUGGUUUGUGGGUUCGAGCCCCACGUCAGGCU